GGCUCGGUAGCGGAUGGUCCGCAUCUGCUUUCCAUUCGGGUGUCGUUACAAUGCAAUAAUGCAGAUAAUGCCUGUUCGAUUCUGGCCCGAGCCA